AGUGAACGCUGGCGGUAGGCCUAACACAUGCAAGUCGAACGGCAGCACAGUAAGAGCUUGCUCUUACGGGUGGCGAGUGGCGGACGGGCGAGGAAUACAUCGGAAUCUACUUUUUCGUGGGGGAUAACGUAGGGAAACUUACGCUAAUACCGCAUACGACCUACGGGUUAAAGCAGUGGAUCUUCGGACCUUGCGCGAUUGAAUGAGCCGAUGUCGGAUUAGCUAGUUGGCGGGGUAAAGGCCCACCAAGGCGACGAUCCGUAGCUGGUCUGAGAGGAUGAUCAGCCACACUGGAACUGAGACACGGUCCAGACUCCUACGGGAGGCAGCAGUGGGGAAUAUUGGACAAUGGGCGCAAGCCUGAUCCAGCCAUACCGCGUGGGUGAAGAAGGCCUUCGGGUUGUAAAGCCCUUUUGUUGGGAAAGAAAAGCAGCAGGUUAAUACCCCGCUGUUCUGACGGUACCCAAAGAAUAAGCACCGGCUAACUUCGUG
rnacentral:rRNA from 1 species